AAUUUUGGACAAUGGGCGAAAGCCUGAUCCAGCAAUGCCGCGUGCAGGAAGAAGGCCUUCGGGUUGUAAACUGCUUUUGUACGGAACGAAACGGUCUGCCCUAAUACGGCGGGCUAAUGACGGUACCGUAAGAAUAAGCACCGGCUAACUACGUGCCAGCAGCCGCGGUAAUACGUAGGGUGCGAGCGUUGUCCGGAUUUACUGGGCGUAAAGAGCGCGUAGGCGGAAGCUUAAGUGUGGCCUGAAAGCCCCCGGCUCAACCGGGGAGGGUGGCUGCAAACUGGGCUUCUAGAGGGGGAUAGAGGAAAGUGGAAUUCCGGGUGUAGCGGUGAAAUGCGUAGAGAUCCGGAGGAACACCAGUGGCGAAGGCGGCUUUCUGGGUCCGCCCUGACGCUGAGGCGCGAAAGCGUGGGGAGCGA
rnacentral:rRNA from 1 species